rnacentral:rRNA from 1 species
UACGUAGGACCCAAGCGUUAUCCGGAGUGACUGGGCGUAAAGAGUUGCGUAGGUGGUUUGUAAAGUGAAUAGUGAAAUCUGGCGGCUCAACCGUACAGGCUAUUAUUCAAACUCACAAACUCGAGAAUGGUAGAGGUAACUGGAAUUUCUUGUGUAGGAGUGAAAUCCGUAGAUAUAAGAAGGAACACCAAUGGCGUAGGCAGGUUACUGGACCAUUUCUGACACUGAGGCACGAAAGCGUGGGGAGCGAACCGG